UUUUUUUUCAAAAUGAAACUUACUGAGUUGGCCGCACCUGACUGCAUUGCACGCUGGGUAUUACAUCAGCAAAGUGCAUUAUGAUUGGUCAGGACAGGGCCUUAUAUAGAGCUGGUACUGUACGCAGGCAAAACAAAGCUUUGAAUGUCUUUCAUCUUUUGCUGUUAGACACAAAACAAAAAGAGCAGAAAGAAAAAAAAUCAUGAGUUAUAGAGCAAAGGUCCCCAGAUGGGGAAAAAUAAGAAAACGAUUGAAAUCAUUUUUUUCUACGGCUUUUCAGACAGUAAGUCGUUUUUUUAAACCUUUCCGGCCAUGUAUCCCAACCUUUGCCUACCCCUGUUGGGGUUGGUCAGCCUCAAUGGCCGAAUAUGACGGACAGAGACAGACAACAGGAUCCACAUACGACUCCCAUGAAACCCUUUUUAAUAACAGCUCCAAUGAUCAUUAUGACUCAGCUCAAUUAUCUCUUUGUAAGACCAUUCAAGACAUAUGCUUGUCUGUGCUCAACAAACACCCACCUCUCAAAAAAGAUGCAUGUGAAGUUAUCUGUGAUACGCAUGGCAAAACAUAUGUAAUAUUGUUCAGAAUCAAUUUGUGGCAUCCACGGGUUGUUUGGAACUUUUUUUUUGUUAAUGAUGAUGCCAACAUCCACCGUUUAAGAUACAUCACUCCAUUGGAUGAUGACCAGCAGCCACGAAGGACCGUUUGGAUACAUGAACAAAAUGAGAUUGAAAGUUCUUACCCUGACAAGGCUUUUCAGUUAAAUUGGCAGAAAAUAAACCCAACCACAAAGAAUGAUAUACUUAAUAAAUUACAGGAUCUCAGCGAUGAGUUUAAAAACAGAACAAAUCAAUAUGGAUGGGUUUUAAAUAUUUUCAGUGAUCAUGUAGAAAAAAUAACAGUGGAUAAGCCAGAGUUUAAUAAUGAGUCAUCAUCAAAAUCAUUGAUGGGGAAUAUACAUGUACAUGUAGAGCAAAAAUUAAUUGAAAAAACACAUAAAUUCCUUAAGGAGAACCCUGAGAGGAAUAUUAUACAUUUCAUAAUGUAUACAAAUAAGUUUCCAUGUUUAAAAAGACGCACAAAAGACAAUACUAACCCUUGUUUUAUUCAAAUUAUAAAAUCUGCCUUUGAAUAUAACAGUGAUAGAGGAGCAGGAAUUGAUGUUUUCUUCACAAAUAGCUGGGGUCCGCUCCACCACACAAAUUUUAAUUUUUUGACAUAUUCCAAACUAAUAAAUACUGGCAAUGUUUUUCAUGAAUACCACCGUAAACAAUACAAUAAAAGAUUUAAGCUGGAUCAAAAGUGUUUCAAAGAUAACACUGAAAUACAAAAAGUACUGGCUCACACAGAUAAACCGCACAGAAUGCAAUUUAUGGAUGAACUGAAAAGAGUUAAGAAUAAACUAACAACUAAGGAACUCACCAUUAUAGAACAUAUAGACUAUUUAGAGGAAGUGGUUUAUAACAAUGAUGCCAAUACAUCAAAAAUUUACAGGGAUAAAAUUUAUGACAUGUUUUUAAAUAUGGAGCUGAAAUAUUUAGAGCAGGAAAUUUUUGUUGUUGUUGAUAUAACAUCAGAUUUCAACAGUAUAAUUGUUAAAUGUUUACUAGAAGACCUUCCAUCCAUUUUGGGGAACAAUAGGUAUUUUAGGCUUCAUCAUGUCCAGCAGGAUGAUCCAGCGAAACAAAUAAUUGAAAUGAUUAAAAAACAAAGAACUAACCAUUGAAUAACUUGAAUGCUCUGUGUUGUCAACGCUGUUGCCAGAAUAAAACAGAUGAUUCCAUCA
rnacentral:lncRNA from 1 species